rnacentral:rRNA from 1 species
UGGGGAAUUUUGGACAAUGGGCGAAAGCCUGAUCCAGCAAUGCCGCGUGUGUGAAGAAGGCCUUCGGGUUGUAAAGCACUUUUGUCCGGAAAGAAAUCCUUGGCUCUAAUACAGUCGGGGGAUGACGGUACCGGAAGAAUAAGCACCGGCUAACUACGUGCCAGCAGCCGCGGUAAUACGUAGGGUGCAAGCGUUAAUCGGAAUUACUGGGCGUAAAGCGUGCGCAGGCGGUUUGCUAAGACCGAUGUGAAAUCCCCGGGCUCAACCUGGGAACUGCAUUGGUGACUGGCAGGCUAGAGUAUGGCAGAGGGGGGUAGAAUUCCACGUGUAGCAGUGAAAUGCUAGAGAUGUGGAGGAAUACCGAUGGCGAAGGCAGCCCCCUGGGCCAAUACUGACGCUCAUGCACGAAAGCGUGGGGAGCAAACAGGAUUAGAUACCCUGGUAGUCCACGCCCUAAACGAUGUCAACUAGUUGUUGGGGAUUCAUUUCCUUAGUAACGUAGCUAACGCGUGAAGUUGACCGCCUGGGGAGUACGGUCGCAAGAUUAAAACUCAAAGGAAUUGACGGGGUCAUAGCUGUUUCCU